rnacentral:lncRNA from 1 species
CUUACUUGUUUCGGGUUCUGAAAUCGGGUUCUUACUGCGCCUACGGGUUGUCCCUAAAUUCUCUGAAUUUUUUUCUGAGAAACUGAAACACACUUCCGGUACCUGCACGUAUCCCCAAAAAACCCCAAAUCAGACCCAGGGCACUUUUGACCAAUAUCAGAAUUUCGGCAAGGCGGCUCCACCGUGCUCCGGCGUUGGCGUCGCCGCCCACAACGGCGAUCCACCUCAAGUUGGCUGUUUCCGAUCGUUUUCGGCCAAAUUCGGCCAAACUCGCAUCGAUUCCUGUGAUAAAACACCCCUAGGGCCCUCGGUGGGCCAAACAAUCACGAAAAACUGAGACUUACCGGCGGCGGAGCUCUCGGGUGCGGCGGCUUCUCUGGCGCGAGUCGCGAUGUGAUGUUUUGCUCCGGUCAACCUGUAGAGAAAAGGACGGUGAUCACAGUGGUGUAAAAAUUACAUCAAAUGGGAAUCGGGAAGGGCCUCAUUGGAGGCAAAAAUCGAGGGAAGUCGCGGCGGCGCU